AUGGAUUAGGAACAGAGAUGUGGUGAAGGAGGUAAUGGAACAAUCUGAGCUCCUCAGUAACUUAUUAAUGAACCUUAUUAGGAGGGAGAAUGAGUCAAGCAACCCACAAGUUAGUCUCAUUAACGGCGGUGUUAUGUCCUAGAAGCAUGAUAAUUUUGCUUCUCCCACACAUUUUUACUCUUACUUCCUCUGGAAGAUCAAAGAACAUCUGAAUCUAUUGAAAUUAUUUUGCUGUAAAAUCUACUGUGCUCCUGGAUACUCUUAAUGGCUCUUGUUUUAUUGGGUAAAGAAGACUAGAGACUGGAUUUCACAACGACAAACAUAUAUACAAAGAUUCCUGUGGUGAUGUUUAUAGAUGAUAUGAGAAUGAAACUGGAAAAGUGUAAUUAAGAACCAGAUGGUUUCAGAAGUGCUUACUUUGGCCCGUGUCUCAUUGAUACUCAGAUACAGUCUAA